GGUCUCUUAUCUCGGCACCUGAGUGGCUUGCCGCCCACACAACCAAAUUAAAAAAUAACACAGAAGGGUAAGGUAAGUCUCCAUUAAACCCAGGAAAGAGACUGGAAAUCUCCUUUUUGGAUCCUGUCUAUAGUCACAGGU
rnacentral:snoRNA from 1 species